UAGGGAAUCUUCGGCAAUGGACGAAAGUCUGACCGAGCAACGCCGCGUGAGUGAAGAAGGUUUUCGGAUCGUAAAACUCUGUUGUUAGAGAAGAACAAGGACGUUAGUAACUGAACGUCCCCUGACGGUAUCUAACCAGAAAGCCACGGCUAACUACGUGCCAGCAGCCGCGGUAAUACGUAGGUGGCAAGCGUUGUCCGGAUUUAUUGGGCGUAAAGCGAGCGCAGGCGGUUUCUUAAGUCUGAUGUGAAAGCCCCCGGCUCAACCGGGGAGGGUCAUUGGAAACUGGGAGACUUGAGUGCAGAAGAGGAGAGUGGAAUUCCAUGUGUAGCGGUGAAAUGCGUAGAUAUAUGGGGGAACACCAGUGGCGAAGGCGGCUCUCUGGUCUGUAACUGACGCUGAGGCGCGAAAGCGUGGGGAGCAAACAGG
rnacentral:rRNA from 1 species